UCCUCAAAGAAAAAGGGAGUGAGGAUAAAGGGAAUGUAGAGUUGAGGGUUUGUUUUUUCUUUGUUUCCCCAGUGUGGAAAGGAAUGGAAGACGUUCAGUGCACCUGCACGUGACCCCAAAAUUUAGUCGGGAAGCUGGGUGUUUCACCUCCAGUGAAAGCAAGUGGGAGUGAUAGGAGAGGCUUGGAAAAAGAUCGAGCAGGGGAAGAGAGAGAUGUCGGCAUCUUCUCUCCCUCCUGCAUAAGACCGUUCCAGUAUGUAAUCGCUGACCUGGAGAAAUAAUGCUCGAGUACAGAGUACGGGGCAGAGUUCCAGGUGUCACUGUGCACCCAACCCCCACGAGCUUUGUGAUUCAUCGCAAACGGCCGAUCCGGAAGGAUGAGUAAACUCCGCCAAGUACAGUCGUGGUACAGUAUUUGUUGAAGUGCUCAAAUUGGACUUGGGCCUGGGUGGGUCUGUCCCUUCAGGAAGCAUCCGUUGGGUUCUUACUUUAAGGGACUCGAGAAGUCUUGUCAGCUCCCAGCAGUAGAAACUUUGAUCUUUUAACGCCCCGAUCUUCAGCCAUUUGUAAUACGUGUUUAAUUAAUAGUCACAGGACAUGUGACCAUGGUGCUCAAUAGUUUGGAUAAGAUGAUUCAACUCCAGAAAAACACGGCUAACAUCAGGAAUAUCUGUGUCUUGGCUCAUGUUGACCAUGGAAAAACUACUCUGGCUGACUGUCUUAUAUCUAGCAAUGGCAUCAUCUCCAGUCGCCUGGCAGGCAAGUUAAGGUACAUGGACAGCAGAGGAUGAACAUGUCCGAGGGAUCACGAUGAAAUCCAGUGCCAUUUCACUACAUUAUGCAAAAGGUUUUUUGCUUUACAUUCCACAAAUUUCAUUCUGACCUUUCCAGAUGAUCUGUUGUCAGAUCAGAGUCAGGCUGUCCAGAUUUGAAUACAGAUGGGGACAUCUGACUGGCUUGAGGGCAGAAGAACUGGCAGCUCACAGGUGCCCCCUUCCACCCAGGGUAGCUUUUACCGUUUCUGAAAAUGACCUCUCCAACGGCAUGGCUUCAUCAGUAGUGACGUGUAGAUCUCCACUUCACCCUCCCUCUGGCAUGGCUACUUUCUGGAUUUUAGCAUCAUCCAGAACUGUUCAUCUUUGACAUUUCAAAUUCAAACACUCCCUUCUCCACAAUCUUUACUCUUCCCAGCUCUCUUGCCUGCGUAGCAAGGUACCCAUUCUUUGAUUUCAGAAAGCCCUUCAGUCUCAAGCUGCAUCACUGUCCUUCAUUUACUUCCUGCCUCAUACAACCCAGAUUUGUCUUUUUGCUGACAGUCUUGCCAAGGUCCUCAGUUUGCUUUCUUCACCUUCUGUCCUCCCAGUAAAACUCUACCCCUGAUAGAGCUAACUCUCUCCACUUUUUUCUCCUCAUACUUGUGCUGGGUUAUCGGCUGGUCCUCGGGCUGCUGGCAGAAUUCCAGUAUGUUGUCUGUCGGGCCUUGCUCAUUCUCUCCAACAGCUCUCUUAAACCUUCUAGUCUCUUCAGUCCACCUCUCAGUCCCUCUCCUACAAU